rnacentral:tRNA from 1 species
GGCCUCGUAGCUCAGCUGGUAGAGCCUGCGCUGUUCAAAAGAGUAGGUGGCUUCCAUGUGUGGAUUCGAAUCCCACUGAGGCUA